UGGCCUGCGGGAGAAGGAGGUGCCACGCGGGGCACAGAGGAGCUGCCCCAGCUGAGGUCAUCCUAGACCAGCCAGCCCCCAGCCUGUCAGGCAGCGACUUCAGAGCGCGAGUGAGCCAGUCAAAUAUGCCAAACUGCAGAACUGUGAGCUAAAUAGCCGUUGUUGUUUUAAGCCACUAAGUUUAGGGAAGUUUUGUUAAAUAGAAAGAGCUCACUUUCCAGUUGAUACUUCUCCUAGUUAAAAGAAAAAAAAAAAGCUAAAAAAAAAGAAAAAGAAAGAACUAACCGACAGACUUACUAUGGAUGCGGGACCCUGGCUAGGAACUUUAUCUCCCUUGUGGCGACGUUUCCGAGGAGCUCGCUGCUCCCAGUGACAAGGAAAACCCAGAGACUGAAAAUAGAGCUGAUUUCCCAGAAUCUCAGAUCACUCCCUGGUGGCUCAUCUCUGUGCAGGCGUUGGCAGGAAGGGAAGGAGGAAGAAAGAGAGGGAGGAGAGUGGUGUUUCCUCCCACAGACUGGGUUGCCAAAGAACUGCUUGAAGACCCUCUCCUCCCUGGAUCUUCCUGACAAUUUGGCCCUGCUACUUGCCCAGGAAACCCCACUUUAUCAUUUGGCACUCCCACCGGAGAAUGGACUUCCUCCCUGCUCUGCUUCCCAUGUAUCUGCUGCUUGCCCACUCCCCAGGCAGAACCUGACCUCGCUGCUGCCCACUUUGGCCAUGGUGGUGCCUCUUUCAAGGCCUGAGUACCCUGACCAAAGGUGCUGAUAAAUACACGAGCAUUUGUAGCCUGUCAAAGGUAAUUGUUAGGAAUGUGCAGUUGCAACCAUUUGGGGAGAAAAAAAGGCCUUGUCGGUGAGGAUUUCCUCUCUACACUUCUUACACUCUAGAUUGCUAAAACCACCCGCUGGGUUGUGCAUUGGGAGUGAGGAAGCUACAGGACAAGGCUCUGUGCUGGCGUGUUAAGUACUCUUGUUGGGCUCUUCCUCUGGACCCAGGGCAUUCCCUGGAUGGU